rnacentral:rRNA from 1 species
AGAGUUUGAUCCUGGCUCAGGAUGAACGCUAGCUACAGGCUUAACACAUGCAAGUCGAGGGGAAACGACAUCGAAGGCUUGCUUUUGAUGGGCGUCGACCGGCGCACGGGUGAGUAACGCGUAUCCAACCUGCCCACCACUUGGGGAUAACCUUGCGAAAGUAAGACUAAUACCCAAUGACGUCUCUAGAAGACAUCUGAAGGAGAUUAAAGAUUUAUCGGUGAUGGAUGGGGAUGCGUCUGGUUAGCUUGUUGGCGGGGUAACGGCCACAAGGCGACGAUCAGUAGGGGUUCUGAGAGGAAGGUCCCCCANAUUGGAACUGAGACACGGUCCAAACUCCUACGGGAGGCA